GCGGUGUGCCUAAUACAUGCAAGUCGAACGAGUUCUGAUUAUUGAAAGGUGCUUGCAUCUUGAUUUUAAUUUUGAACGAGUGGCGGACGGGUGAGUAACACGUGGGUAACCUGCCCUUAAGUGGGGGAUAACAUUUGGAAACAGAUGCUAAUACCGCAUAAAUCCAAGAACCGCAUGGUUCUUGGCUGAAAGAUGGCGUAAGCUAUCGCUUUUGGAUGGACCCGCGGCGUAUUAGCUAGUUGGUGAGGUAACGGCUCACCAAGGCAAUGAUACGUAGCCGAACUGAGAGGUUGAUCGGCCACAUUGGGACUGAGACACGGCCCAAACUCCUACGGGAGGCAGCAGUAGGGAAUCUUCCACAAUGGACGCAAGUCUGAUGGAGCAACGCCGCGUGAGUGAAGAAGGCUUUCGGGUCGUAAAACUCUGUUGUUGGAGAAGAAUGGUCGGCAGAGUAACUGUUGUCGGCGUGACGGUAUCCAACCAGAAAGCCACGGCUAACUACGUGCCAGCAGCCGCGGUAAUACGUAGGUGGCAAGCGUUAUCCGGAUUUAUUGGGCGUAAAGCGAGCGCAGGCGGUUUUUUAAGUCUGAUGUGAAAGCCCUCGGCUUAACCGAGGAAGUGCAUCGGAAACUGGGAAACUUGAGUGCAGAAGAGGACAGUGGAACUCCAUGUGUAGCGGUGAAAUGCGUAGAUAUAUGGAAGAACACCAGUGGCGAAGGCGGCUGUCUGGUCUGUAACUGACGCUGAGGCUCGAAAGCAUGGGUAGCGAACAGGAUUAGAUACCCUGGUAGUCCAUGCCGUAAACGAUGAAUGCUAGGUGUUGGAGGGUUUCCGCCCUUCAGUGCCGCAGCUAACGCAUUAAGCAUUCCGCCUGGGGAGUACGACCGCAAGGUUGAAACUCAAAGGAAUUGACGGGGGCCCGCACAAGCGGUGGAGCAUGUGGUUUAAUUCGAAGCAACGCGAAGAACCUUACCAGGUCUUGACAUCUUUUGAUCACCUGAGAGAUCAGGUUCCCCCUUCGGGGGCAAAAUGACAGGUGGUGCAUGGUUGUCGUCAGCUCGUGUCGUGAGAUGUUGGGUUAAGUCCCGCAACGAGCGCAACCCUUAUGACUAGUUGCCAGCAUUUAGUUGGGCACUCUAAUAAGACUGCCGGUGACAAACCGGAGGAAGGUGGGGAUGACGUCAAAUCAUCAUGCCCCUUAUGACCUGGGCUACACACGUGCUACAAUGGAUGGUACAACGAGUUGCGAGACCGCGAGGUCAAGCUAAUCUCUUAAAGCCAUUCUCAGUUCGGACUGUAGGCUGCAACUCGCCUACACGAAGUCGGAAUCGCUAGUAAUCGCGGAUCAGCACGCCGCGGUGAAUACGUUCCCGGGCCUUGUACACACCGCCCGUCACACCAUGAGAGUUUGUAACACCCGAAGCCGGUGGCGUAACCCUUUUAGGGAGCGAGCCGUCUAAGGUGGGACAAAUGAUUAGGGUGAAG
rnacentral:rRNA from 1 species